rnacentral:rRNA from 1 species
GGGCGAGGGUUGCCCGGGAUUAUUGGGCGUAAGAGCUCGUAGGCGGCGUGUCGCGUCUGCUGUGAAAGACCGGGGCUUAACUCCGGUUCUGCAGUGGAUACGGGCAUGCUAGAGGUAGGAAGGGGAGACUGAAAUUCCUGGUGUAGCGGUGAAAUGCGCAGAUAUCAGGAGGAACACCGGUGGCGAAGGCGGGUCUCUGGGCCUUACCUGACGCUGAGGAGCGAAAGCAUGGGGAGCGAACAGGAUUAGAUACCCUGGUAGUCCAUGCCGUAAACGUUGGGCGCUAGGUGUGGGGACUUUCCACGGUUUCCGCGCCGUAGCUAACGCAUUAAGCGCCCCGCCUGGGGAGUACGGCCGCAAGGCUAAAACUCAAAGGAAUUGACGGGGGCCCGCACAAGCGGCGGAGCAUGUUGCUUAAUUCGACGCAACGCGAAGAACCUUACCAAGGUUUGACAUCACCCGUGGACUCGCAGAGAUGUGAGGUCAUUUAGUUGGCGGGUGACAGGUGGUGCAUGGCUGUCGUCAGCUCGUGUCGUGAGAUGUUGGGUUAAGUCCCGCAACGAGCGCAACCCUUGUUCCAUGUUGCCAGCACGUAAUGGUGGGGACUCAUGGGAGACUGCCGGGGUCAACUCGGAGGAAGGUGGGGAUGACGUCAAGUCAUCAUGCCCCUUAUGUCUUGGGCUGCAAACAUGCUACAAUGGCCGGUACAAUGGGCGUGCGAUACCGUAAGGUGGAGCGAAUCCCUAAAAGCCGGUCUCAGUUCGGAUUGGGGUCUGCAACUCGACCCCAUGAAGGUGGAGUCGCUAGUAAUCGCGGAUCAGCAACGCCGCGGUGAAUACGUUCCCGGGCCUUGUAACACCGCCCGUCCGUCAUGAAAGUCGGCACACCCGAACUUGCGGCCUAUCCCUUGUGGGAGGAGUGAGUGAAGGUGGGCUGGCGAUGGGACAAAUCGUACAGGGUAACCGUAAAAUUUUUUUUUUGU